rnacentral:lncRNA from 1 species
CUGUAAGUAAUACUCAGUGGACAGUAAGUAAUGAAGUUUUCUAGAAGUUUCAGUGUGAGCACAAUUAAGCUUAACAUUUUUAAAUGAGAUUUUUAUAUAUUUUAAUACCAUGGUGUUUAGCAUUCUAAAACAUAUUAGAAAGUACUGUAUAAUUUUAAAAAAUCUAUUAACACCUUGAUAGUAUUUAUAACAAAUGUUUUAAUAGAGGUGCUUGAUAUAUAAGCAUGACCGAAUAACUUUAAAUAAUUGUAUUUAAUUGCUUUUUCACAAUAAAAAUGAUGAUUUUUUUUGAAAUGAAAGGAAUGCUGAAGCUCAAAGUCACUUUCAUCUAAUUUUUGAAGCUGUCAAUUUUGAUUUUAUUAUAACUGAAUUUUGUCUUGUAAGCUGAUACAUUAUUUUAUACUCCAAUAUUUUGAGUUAAAUUAACAAGUUGCAAUGAAGUACCUUAAUAAUCUGAUAUUAACAACCUCAGAUUUUAUAUAACCAUUUUCAACAAUAUCUUUAGAUAUUAAAAAUAGACACACUGCAGAGAAUUUAAAAGCAGAAAAGUGGGAUCUCGGUUGCUCUGAUUUUUUUUUCUUAAGAAAUCCUGUUAUCACUAUACUACAUGCCAUUUUUGCCUCAUAGAUCAGUCGAUGGUAACCUAGAGUGAAACUUUAUUUUUUCACUUUAAAGUAAUCGUCUUUCUCUUUAAAAAUGUUGAUGAUGUAUUCUUUAAAGAAACAUGAGUUGGAGCUCUCUUAGUAGGAUAUCCUUGAAGAUUAACCAGAGAACUUUUCAUAUACUUCUAAAGGUAGGAAAUAGAAGCCCCCUUUUUUUGGUUAUAAAAUAUGUUGUAUUUGUUUUAGCUAUGUUUGAAUAAUUUACUUCCCUUGUAGAUAUAGAUAGAAUUGAUGCUGCUUAUUCUGAAAAACUGAAAAAUGCAUUAUGUCUGCCUACUUGCUAAACUCGAAGUCAUCCAACACAUAGUGUUUAAUCGUCAGUUUGAUUUUUCUUCCAUACUGCUACUACUAUAGUUUCUUGUGUCUUUUACAGUUUAUGUUUUACUGUGGACAGAAUUCAUUCAUUAUUUUACAUUUUUGUAUUAUCGUCU